rnacentral:rRNA from 1 species
UUUCGCAAUGCCCGAAAGGGUGACGAAGCGACGCCGCGUGCGGGAAGAAGGCCUUCGGGUUGUAAACCGCUGUCGGGAGUUAAGAAAUGUAAGGAUGUUAAUAGCAUCUUUACCUGACUAAGGCUCCGGAGGAAGCCACGGCUAACUCUGUGCCAGCAGCCGCGGUAAUACAGAGGCGGCAAGCGUUGUUCGGAAUUAUUGGGCGUAAAGAGCACGUAGGCGGCUAUGUAAGUCGGUUGUGAAAGCCUUCCGCUCAACGGGAGAACAGCAUCCGAUACUGCAUGGCUUGAGUGCGGGAGGGGAGAGUGGAACUUCUGGUGGAGCGGUGAAAUGCGUAGAUAUCAGAAGGAACGCCGGCGGCGAAAGCGGCUCUCUGGCCCAUAACUGACGCUGAGUGUGCGAAAGCUAGGGGAGCAAACGGGAUUAGAUACCCCGGUAGUCCUAGCCGUAAACGAUGGGCACUAAGUAGAGGGGUUUUA